AUGAACUUUGUGAUCAAGAAAGCAGCUGAUGAGACCGAGACUAUUCUGGAAACAACCCCGGCUGGCAAAAGCGAUGGGGAAGGUGCACUUCGAGCAUUCAUUAAGCGCCAGGGCCAAAAGUUAAGGCGGCUAUCAAACCUUUUCGGUUGUCGUGACCCCGAGUAUGUAUCACCAGAACGGUCUAGGUCGGCGACACCAUCAGAUCCCGCUUCGGGGCAGGGCCAUGGUGAACCUUUG